GUCCCGCCCGUCCCGCGCGGCCUCGGGGCAGAGUUAUAGAGAGAAGGUGACAGAGAGAGAUCCUCUAUCCGGGGUCCAUACCCCAAAUGACCACAACAGCUGGAACUGAACCAAUCUGAAGAUAGAAUGAGACCUCGAUCACCAGGGGACACAUCCAUGUUUGGCCUUUACAUGCAUUGCUUCCAUCACUGAGUCACUCGUAUGGCCUGAGUCCCUGCCGUAUGCUGGGAGCCGGCAGAACACAACCAUCCAUGUCCAAGACUGAGUCUCUUCAAAGAUGUCCUCUGACCAAAUCUCUGUCAUCUCCAAAAAAUGACCAGGAGGAGAGCUCCACUCGGAAUAGCCCACGGCAUCGGAACCUGUCCUCUGGGACCUCACUGUAUAAACAAUCUGUAAAAUAGACCCCAGGCACAAAGUUUACACGUGCAACCUUCAGCUGAUCUUCUCUUCCGGCGCCAGCGUGAUUAUUCCUCCCAAGAAAUUGCCAAAACGUGGCUCCCAAGGCCCCGAGAAGCUUCCAGAAGCAAAGUGUGGGUUUCAGGCUCGCCAAGGGUCUGUGGGAGCGUUGUUAGCGUGAAAUCCAGCGUUUGAGGCCAACGUUCCAUGUGUCCGCGUUGGCAAAAAACGUUUGCGCUUGGGCUGCGUGCACUCGGCUAGGCGGACAAGGCUGCCCGUGGUGUCGCUGUGACCGUUGCUCAGGGCUGGGUCGUUUUUUGUGUGUGGUGGCUCACGCCUCUGUGCAAGCUGUUUAACAGCAUUCCUGCCCUUCCCUUCUUUGACGCCAGCAACAUCUCCAGUUCAAAAUGUCUCCAGAUAGUCCUAAGUGUCUCAUGGGGUUAAAAAAAUAAAUCAGGAGUUGCUGACUUGUACCCAGAAAGUUUAUGAGUUUAGGUUCCUGGGGCGAAAAACACACAACAGUUGUAGUUUAUCAUACAUGGAUGAUAAAAUGGAUGUCUAGUAGGGUACUCUUGUGGAGGGGGCACCUUCCGGUUGCUGUGAGGCGAAGUGAAGCUUUGGUUGCUUAGCAACAGAGGCGCAGGAAGCUGGGAGGAAGAACCAAGGAGGGAGACAGGGAGGAGGGAGAUGAGGAGGGCGGAAGGUGGCUGCAAGUGGGUGGGUCAGAUCCCACAGGGCCUCAAGCAC